rnacentral:rRNA from 1 species
GGGCCCGCACAAGCGGUGGAGCAUGUGGUUUAAUUCGAAGCAACGCGAAGAACCUUACCAGGUCUUGACAUCCCGCUGCCCGCCUUAGAGAUAAGGCUUUCCCUUCGGGGACAGCGGUGACAGGUGGUGCAUGGUUGUCGUCAGCUCGUGUCGUGAGAUGUUGGGUUAAGUCCCGCAACGAGCGCAACCCUUGAUCUUAGUUGCCAGCAUUCAGUUGGGCACUCUAAGGUGACUGCCGGUGACAAACCGGAGGAAGGUGGGGAUGACGUCAAAUCAUCAUGCCCCUUAUGACCUGGGCUACACACGUGCUACAAUGGACGGUACAAAGGGCAGCCAACCCGCGAGGGGGAGCCAAUCCCAGAAAACCGUUCUCAGUUCGGAUUGCAGGCUGCAACUCGCCUGCAUGAAGCCGGAAUCGCUAGUAAUCGUGGAUCAGCAUGCCACGGUGAAUACGUUCCCGGGCCUU